rnacentral:pre_miRNA from 1 species
AUGGGAUAACCUGAUCGACUUGCCAUAAACCAUACUCAACGAGUAUGGUUUCUGGCAAGUCGGUCAGGUUUUCCCAU